UGGCAGCAAGGGCUAUUUUCCCUGUCGGCGGGUCUACAGCCCGCCGCCUACUCUCGGCCAUAC
rnacentral:tRNA from 1 species